rnacentral:lncRNA from 10 species
GCAAGCUCUGCCUUCUGGGUUCACGCCAUUUUCUUGCCUCAGCCUCUCCGAGUACCUGGGACUACAGGCGCCCGCCACCACGCCCGGCUAAUUUUUUGUGUUUUUAGUAGAGACGGGCUUUCACCGUGGACUCUAUCUCCUGACCUCGUGAUCCGCCCGCAUAGGCCUCCCAAAGUGCUGGGAUUACAAGCGUGAGCAACCGCGCCCGGCCCCCUUCAGGUAGAAGAAUGCUUCAAGCUUCAGACAAAUUUAAGCAUUCUCACUUGGAAGCACCUUAAAUCCUUGGUGUUCAGAUUUGACAACCGUAAAAAUGUUCGCUAAAGAGGUUUGCGGGGGAUUCCUUGAGCAGCACAAGAUUAUUUUUUUCCCAACAACUAAAAAUAUUUAGUAGUUAAGAAUGAACUGACUGAUAGCAAGAGAGAAGGACAAUUUCAUUAGAUCCAUUAAGAAGUCUUACAAGUCUACAUCCAAUGAGAAGAAGAGAGACCAAAGCAGACCCCUGGAAGAAAUCAGCCAUUUUUAAAGGGGUGGAUCAAGGAGGAGUCCAUAGAGAUGAAAGAGAGCCAUCCAGGUUCUGGCAUCUAGUAAGCAGUCAAUAAAUAUUUAUUAACUGAACCAAUAAAAAAU